AUUGAACGCUGGCGGCAGGCCUAAUACAUGCAAGUCGAACGGUAACAGUAGAAAAGCUUGCUUUUCUAGCUGACGAGUGGCGGACGGGUGAGUAACGCGUGGGCAACCUGCCUCAUUCAGGGGGAUACCAGUUGGAAACGACUGUUAAUACCGCAUAAGCGCACGGUUCCGCAUGGAACAGUGUGAAAAGCUCCGGCAGAAUGAGAUGGGCCCGCGUCUGAUUAGCUUGUUGGUGAGGUAACGGCCCACCAAGGCGACGAUCAGUAGCCGACCUGAGAGGGUGACCGGCCACAUUGGGACUGAGACACGGCCCAAACUCC
rnacentral:rRNA from 1 species